GACGAACCGGACGAACGUUAUUCGGAAUCAUUGGGCUUAAAGUGUGCGUAGGCGGCCCUGUAGGUGAGGUGUGAAAUCCCACGGCUCAACCGUGGAACUGCGCUUCAAACCACAAGGCUUGAGUGAGGCAGAGGUAAGCGGAACUGAUGGUGGAGCGGUGAAAUGCGUUGAUAUCAUCAGGAACACCGGUGGCGAAGGCGGCUUACUGGGCCUUGUCUGACGCUGAGGCACGAAAGCUAGGGGAGCAAACGGG
rnacentral:rRNA from 1 species